GCGCGUUUAGCUCAGCGGGAGAGCGCUUCCCUGACACGGAAGAGGUCACUGGUUCGAUCCCAGUAUCGCGCACCA
rnacentral:tRNA from 17 species